CCUACGGGAGGCAGCAGUAGGGAAUAUUGCUCAAUGGGGGAAACCCUGAUGCAGCAACGCCGCGUGGAGGAUGAAGGUUUUCGGAAUGUAAACCUCUUUCGGUAGAGAAGAUAAUGACGGUAUCUAACGAAUAAGCACCGGCUAACUACGUGCCAGCAGCCGCGGUAAUACGGAGGGUGCAAGCGUUACUCGGAAUCACUGGGCGUAAAGAGCGCGUAGGCGGGAUAGCAAGUCAGGUGUGAAAUGCUAUGGCUUAACCACAGAACUGCAUUUGAAACUGUUAUUCUAGAGUGUGGGAGAGGUAGGUGGAAUUCUUGGUGUAGGGGUAAAAUCCGUAGAGAUCAAGAGGAACACUCGUUGCGAAGGCGACCUGCUAGAACAUAACUGACGCUGAGGCGCGAAAGCGUGGGGAGCAAACAGGAUUAGAUACCCUUGUAGUC
rnacentral:rRNA from 1 species